UCCAUAACGUUCUAGGUAUUUAUUUUGAUUAUCAAACGUCGUUUAAAAAUACUUUCAAAAAAACCUUUUUAAAAAGUGUAAACUGUAGCGCAUUUUCUCGUAAAGGCGAAAUUAAGAUACAUUUCUGCCACAUAUUCUGGAUCACCGACGUAGCCAGAAAUGUCUUUCGAAACUACUUUUGAAAGUUUAUAAUUUGCCAAUUUUUCCAAGCCAAUAAACGAUAGAAAACCACCAUCGAGAAAAAGAACGAACUUUAAAAAAAGGUUCAUAUUAUGAUCGCCUGAGUUCCGAGACCAAUGUAGUGAGGACAUACAUAUUGAAGGGAGAUAUCAAAAAGAGUGCCGCGCUAUAAACCGUGAAGACUAAACUUAAAGUUUGAAGCAAUUCAAAGAUCAUCAGAUCAAAGAUCCCCAGAGAAAUUUUAAUUUAAAAUUGCGUCCCUUUGUGAGGAUGUGUGACAUCGUGUACUCUCGUUUGUGAGAGAUAAGAAAUUUGAGUUUUAGAAAAUUUUGAACUUUAGUGAAUAAGUCAUCAGAAGAAUUGGACCCACAUGUGCCGUAUUAAACAAAAAGUUAAGCUGAAAAUAGAAAACAAGCGGAUUUAAUACCCUACACCAUUUUCAAGGAACUUGAAAAAUUUCCAAAAAAAAAUUCUGUCGAAAAAUGCCGCUCAAAAGAAAACCCGUUAUAUGGGGGCUAUACAAAGACGUAGUCCUGCAUAUAUAAUUUUUUGUCAUAGGCUGUAGUACUCAGUACAAACUUUAAUAACCAAAUUUGAAACAAUUCCUGUAAAAAAGUAGCUAAUAUCAUUCAAAUAGCGAAUAUCGGGUGUAUCGUUGUAUACAAAGUCGAAAUAUAAAUUUUAGACCCCACAAAGUAUAUAUAUUCUUGAUCAGCAUAAAAUUCCAUGUCGAUUUAGCGAUUUCCGUUCGUCUGUUCGUCUAUCCGUCUGUGUAUAUCACUCUUGCUUUUGAACGAAAUUAAGUAGAUUGAUAAAAUGUUUCUGAAAUGUAUAUUAUUUCUACAAGACUGAAAGUGGGCCAUGUAGGUCCACGUUUUUGUAUAGUCCCCAUAUAACAGUACCUCCCGUUAUUCGGUAUUCUGAUGAUUUGACUUUUUUCACAGGAAUUGUUUCAAAAUUUGGUGCUUGAAGUUCGUAAUGAAUACUACAGCCUAAUUCAGAAAAUUGUCUGUGCAGGUCCACAUUUUGGUAUAGUCCACAUAUUCACGAAUUUUUUUCAAGUUUCGCAUUUCAGUAUUGUAAUGGCUUAUAACAAAAGUUGGCCCACGUCGUCGUUUAGACUCUAAUACGGCUACAUUUGGUAUUUUUAAGAUUUUAACAGAAUUUUUAACGGAUUUUAUUUUUUUGAAAAUUGCCAAAUUCGCUCGGCUCGGCCGAACCUACAGCUUUUUUAUUUGUUUUGCUGCAAAAUAGUAUACCUUUCAACAAUUUGAAAAGUGAAGAGAAAAAUCGAAAAAGUCCAUCACUUGUGAUAUAUAUUAGGUCAGGGUAUACUUUUCUGCUAUUAAAUUUAUGGGCACUUCUUCGGGGCUAUAAUAAAGCGCAUAUCUUUGUAGACAAUGUUCUGCCAUAAGAGAUAAAACCCUUUGUAAAUUUUAAAUGUCAAAUUUGAAGAAAAUCCGUUGACAAAUGUUGAUAAAUGCUAAAACAUGGUACAAUAUGGACCAUUUUCGAAUUAGGCUGCCUACUGACAAAAUUCAUAUAUCACAAUAAGGUUGCCUUCUAUUUGAAUUCGUUUGAAGGCGUGAUUUCGACAGACAGACAUAGGAUUUUAUGCUCAUCCAGAAUAUAUAUGGAUAUACAUUAUGAGGUCUAAAAUGAGUAGUUUGAGGCGUUGCAAACGGUUAAAAUACCCUUCAUAGUAUGGCGUAGAAUAUAACAAGAAAUUGCGCAUUAAAAAAAUACUUCAAAAGUCAAAAAACCGGUCAUAUAUCACCGACCACAUGAUCUUUACAAAGUUUGGUCAAACAUCUUAACCUUAUCUAAUUGGCCUGACAGUGCACACGUCACCAAUACACCAAAAAAAUUUCCUAACAUCAUGUAAGACUUUUAGAACUUUUAUUCUCAUAUCAAAUAAAUUUACACUUUUGUGUAAUAUUUUAUCAAAAGAUAUGUCAAUCAGAUUAAGAUUAAUCAUGUAAGAACACACUUAUACUACCUUAUGUACUUCAAGCUAUUAUUAUUUCUCCCCCGAAAAAAAAAUCUUGCAUUCUAUUCAACCCAUUGUGCCUACGUACCCAAUAGAUACCCACUUUCAUUCAAUUAGCUACGUGUGUAUAGUUACGUACGUACGUAUGUACCUUCAGUCUCUUUAUUUUUGUGCUGAGGUGUGCACACCGCACUACUCAGCUUAAACAACAACAUGAAUGUGCACACGAAACGUAUUGCUCUGUGGUGCGGAGAGCAUAUUCAAGAAGAAAUACAACGAAGAAAAGUACCGAAUUUCAUAUCUAUAAAACCGCAUGCACUGCACCUACCGGUCAUCAGUCAGCUAACAGUCGGCUAAACAUAACACAACUACAAAAGUUGAUAAAAACAGAAACAAAACAAAAUAAUCAACAUGCCUUGCCCCUGUGGAACUGGUUGCAAAUGCGCUUCUCAAACCCAAUCUACCGGUAGCUGCGGUUGCGGUUCCUCCUGCAAAUGCGGUAGCAGCUGUGGCAAGAGUAGGUGCGGCAAGUAAGGAGUCUAAGAACUUGAUAUUGUCCUUUCAAGUCAUUAGCACCGCAUUCCCUGUAAUUCUUCCAUUAAAUUUAGUAUAUAUCUUCUCAAAAAGUCUGAGAUCGAAUUAUAUGUAAUUUGUAAAUUAGGUUAAAAAAAUUCAAAAUUUGUUAUCUUUCUCUUUAAACGUCAAUGUAAUUUGUUUACAAUUUAUUUUUAUAAAAUAAAACAAACAUUUUUUUUAACAAUUUAAAAAAAAAAAAACUUUUGAUGUGUUUCUUUGGUUUCACCUUUGCGAAAAUAUCAAAACAACUAA